rnacentral:rRNA from 1 species
UAGGGAAUCUUCGGCAAUGGGGGGAACCCUGACCGAGCAACGCCGCGUGAGUGAAGAAGGUUUUCGGAUCGUAAAGCUCUGUUGUUAAGGAAGAACGAGUGUGAGAAUGGAAAGUUCAUGCUGUGACGGUACUUAACCAGAAAGCCACGGCUAACUACGUGCCAGCAGCCGCGGUAAUACGUAGGUGGCAAGCGUUGUCCGGAUUUAUUGGGCGUAAAGCGAGCGCAGGCGGUCAAUUAAGUCUGAUGUGAAAGCCCCCGGCUCAACCGGGGAGGGUCAUUGGAAACUGGUUGACUUGAGUGCAGAAGAGGAGAGUGGAAUUCCAUGUGUAGCGGUGAAAUGCGUAGAUAUAUGGAGGAACACCAGUGGCGAAGGCGACUCUCUGGUCUGUAACUGACGCUGAGGCUCGAAAGCGUGGGGAGCGAACAGG